rnacentral:misc_RNA from 1 species
GAUGAAGAACGCAGCGAAAUGCGAUAACUAAUGUGAAUUGCAGAAUUCAGUGAAUCAUCGAGUCUUUGAACGCACAUUGCGCCCCCUGGUAUUCCGGGGGGCAUGCCUGUCCGAGCGUCAUUGCUGCCCUUAAGCCCGGCUUGUGUGUUGGGCCCCGUCCCCCUCUCCGGGGGACGGGCCCGAAAGGCAGCGGCGGCACCGAGUCCGGUCCUCGAGCGUAUGGGGCUUUGUCACCCGCUCUGUAGGCCCGGCCGGCGCCAGCUGACAACCCAUCAUCCUUUUCAGGUUGACCUCGGAUCAGGUAGGGAUACCCGCUGAACUUAAGCAUAUCAAUAAGCGGAGGA